UACGUAGGUGGCAAGCGUGUCCGGAUUUAUUGGGUUUAAAGGGUGCGUAGGCGGUCCGGUAAGUCCGCUGUGAAAGUCGGGGGCUCAACCCUCGAAAGCCGGUGGAUACUGUCGGGCUAGAGUGCGGAAGAGGCGAGUGGAAUUCCUGGUGUAGCGGUGGAAUGCGCAGAUAUCAGGAAGAACACCAACGGCGAAGGCAGCUCGCUGGGACGGAACUGACGCUAAGGCGCGAAAGCGUGGGAGCGAACAGG
rnacentral:rRNA from 1 species